rnacentral:misc_RNA from 1 species
UCCCCGAUUUCCGGGGCAGUCUCCGAUGAGUCCCCGGCAUUACCCGCUGGCAACAUCGGACAGGGGUUGCGCUCGUUGCGCCACUUAAGGCAACACCUCACGGCACGAGCUGACGACAGCCAUGCAGCACCUGUGCAGGCUCCCGAAGGAGCGCCGUGUUUCCACGGCUUUACCCUGCAUGUCAAGCCCUGGUAAGGUUCUUCGCGUUGCGUCGAAUUAAACCACAUGCUCCACCGCUUGUGCGGGCCCCCGUCAAUUCCUUUGAGUUUCAGCCUUGCGGCCGUACUCCCCAGGCGGGAGACUUAACGCGUUAGCUCCGACACCGAAGGGCUCGAUCCCCCCGGCAUCUAGUCUCCAUCGUUUACGGCGUGGACUAC